rnacentral:rRNA from 1 species
AUUGAACGCUGGCGGCAUGCCUUACACAUGCAAGUCGAACGGCAGCGGACCUUCGGGUGCCGGCGAGUGGCGAACGGGUGAGUAAUAUAUCGGAACGUACCUUUCAGUGGGGGAUAACGUAGCGAAAGUUACGCUAAUACCGCAUAUUCUGUGAGCAGGAAAGCAGGGGAUCGCAAGACCUUGCGCUGAUUGAGCGGCCGAUAUCAGAUUAGCUAGUUGGUGAGGUAAAGGCUCACCAAGGCGACGAUCUGUAGCGGGUCUGAGAGGAUGAUCCGCCACACUGGAACUGAGACACGGUCCAGACUCCUACGGGGGGCAGCAGUGGGGAAUUUUGGACAAUGGGCGCAAGCCUGAUCCAGCCAUGCCGCGUGAGUGAAGAAGGCCU